CUACACAGUGCACCUAACGUGUGUGGGAGCCUGGAGUGUCCCUUUAAUAAUAUAAACCCACCCAGUAUAACUAACUGUAACCUAACCUACACAGUGCAUCUAAUGUGUGUGGGAGCCUGGAGUGUCCCUUUAAUAAUAUAAACCCACCCAGUAUAACUAACUGUAACCUAACCUACACAGUGCAUCUAACGUGUUGGAGCCUGGAGUGUCCCUUUAAUAAUAUAAACCCACCCAGUAUAACUAACUGUAACCUAACCUACACAGUGC